GUAUGUAGCCAUCCUUAGUUGGGCUUGCCUUCUUGUUUCUUCGAGCAAGUCUAAGUCGGCUCAUCGUCGAUCAGCAUUCAUCGCUUCAUUGUAGUGUUCUAUCCUUAUGGAAAGUAAAUCGAUUUCAACAGGGAUCAUUCCUUUGAUUUCAAAGGCCAAAUUAAAUGGAGUUUCUUCAGUCGGGAUUCGAGGGAUAGUUCGGUAGGACCAUAAAAUACUAUAAAGUUCAUCAGCCCAUAAUCCUUUAGCUUGAUUUAAUCUUAUCUUCUGACCAUGGAGUAUAGUCCUAUUGGUCACCUCAACUUCUCC
rnacentral:lncRNA from 1 species